rnacentral:rRNA from 1 species
AGGCGACAAUCCGUAGCUGGUCUGAGAGGACGACCAGCCACACCGGAACUGAGACACGGCCCAGACUCCUACGGGAGGCAGCAGUGGGGAAUCUUGCGCAAUGCGCGAAAGCGUGACGCAGCAACGCCGCGUGGGGGAAGAAGGCUUUCGGGUUGUAAAUCCCUUUCAGUUGGGACGAAGCUUCGGCGGUUAAUAGCCGUUCGGAGUGACGGUACCUUCACAAGAAGCACCGGCUAACUACGUGCCAGCAGCCGCGGUAAUACGUAGGGUGCAAGCGUUGUCCGGAAUUAUUGGGCGUAAAGAGCGUGUAGGCGGCCCGAUUAGUCCGCUGUGAAAGUCCAGGGCUCAACCCUGGAAUGCCGGUGGAUACUGUCGGGCUAGAGUCCGGAAGGGGCGAGUGGAAUUCCUGGUGUAGCGGUGAAAUGCGCAGAUAUCAGAGGAACACCAAUGGCGAAAGCAGCUCGCUGGGACGUGACUGACGCUGAGACGCGAAAGCGUGGGGAGCAAACAGGAUUAGAUACCCUGGUAGUCCACGCUGUAAACGAUGGCAACUAGAUGGUGGGGGGGUGUCGACUCCCCCCCGUGUCGAAGCUACGCAUUAAGUUGCCCGCCUGGGGA